UGGGGAAUAUUGCACAAUGGGCGCAAGCCUGAUGCAGCGACGCCGCGUGAGGGAUGGAGGCCUUCGGGUUGUAAACCUCUUUUGUUUGGGAGCAAGCCUUCGGGUGAGUGUACCUUUCGAAUAAGCGCCGGCUAACUACGUGCCAGCAGCCGCGGUAAUACGUAGGGCGCAAGCGUUAUCCGGAUUUAUUGGGCGUAAAGGGCUCGUAGGCGGCUCGUCGCGUCCGGUGUGAAAGUCCAUCGCUUAACGGUGGAUCUGCGCCGGGUACGGGCGGGCUGGAGUGCGGUAGGGGAGACUGGAAUUCCCGGUGUAACGGUGGAAUGUGUAGAUAUCGGGAAGAACACCGAUGGCGAAGGCAGGUCUCUGGGCCGUCACUGACGCUGAGGAGCGAAAGCGUGGGGAGCGAACAGG
rnacentral:rRNA from 1 species